CAGUCGCCGCGGUAAUACGGAGGGUGCAAGCGUUAAUCGGUAUUACUGGGCGUAAAGCGUGCGUAGGUGGUGGUUUAAGUCCGUUGUGAAAGCCCUGGGCUCAACCUGGGAAUUGCAGUGGAUACUGGGUCACUAGAGUGUGGUAGAGGAUAGUGGAAUUUCCGGUGUAGCAGUGAAAUGCGUAGAGAUCGGAAGGAACAUCUGUGGCGAAGGCGACUAUCUGGGCCAACACUGACACUGAGGCACGAAAGCGUGGGGAGCAAACAGGAUUAGAUACCCCGGUAGUCCCUGUCUCUUAUAC
rnacentral:rRNA from 1 species